rnacentral:tRNA from 1 species
CCGCCAUUAGCUCAUCAGGAAGAGCGCCAGCCUUCGAAGCUGGUUGCGCGGAGUUCGGGUCCCCGAAGGCGGUCCA